rnacentral:rRNA from 1 species
AUGGGUAGGGCUUCACACGUCAUACAAUGGUCGGUACAGAGGGUUGCCAGCCCGCGAGGGGGAGCUAAUCCCACAAAGCCGACCGUAGUCCGGAUCGCAGUCUGCAACUCGACUGCGUGAAGUCGGAAUCGCUAGUAAUCGUGGAUCAGCAUGUCACGGUGAAUACGUUCCCGGGUCUU